rnacentral:rRNA from 1 species
GACGGACGCUGGCGGCGUGCUUAACACAUGCAAGUCGAACGGAAAGGCCCUGCUUUUGUGGGGUUCUCGAGUGGCGAACGGGUGAGUAACACGUGAGUAACCUGCCCUUGACUUUGGGAUAACUUCAGGAAACUGGGGCUAAUACCGUAUAGGAGCUCCUGCUGCAUGGUGGGGGUUGGAAAGUUUCGGCGGUUGGGGAUGGACUCGCGGCUUAUCAGCUUGUUGGUGGGGUAGUGGCUUACCAAGGCUUUGACGGGUAGCCGGCCUGAGAGGGUGACCGGGCACAUUGGGACUGAGAUACGGACCAGACUCCUACGGGAGGCAGCAGUGGGGAAUAUUGCACAAUGGGCGGAAGCCUGAUGCAGCAACGCCGCGUGCGGGAUGACGGCCUUCGGGUUGUAAACCGCUUUCGCCUGUGACGAAGCGUGAGUGACGGUAAUGGGUAAAGAAGCACCGGCUAACUACGUG